UACAGGUGUGAGCCACCACAUUUGGCCCUAUUUUUAUGGUUAUUUCUUGAUGAUAUGCAUGUAGGGUUAAGCCCUACGGGAUCAUGGGAUGUCCCCUAUCGCUGUGCUGAGGCACAGGAUCCGAGAAAUAAAGAAAGACACAGAAUGACAAACAAAGCGCAGCUGGGCUCUGGGGGGGCCACACCACCUACAAGCGGAGACAGGCGAGGCCCCAAACAUCCAGGAGCGUCUGUAUUUAUUGGGUAUAGGUUAGGGGGCAGGGUAGUAAGUGAGAUCAUCUUUAAGGAUAGUGAUAGGGUCAAGACAUUCACGUGAGCGAUAAACAAUGGGGGUCCACCCCCAUUAGGUCACCGAGGCAAGGAGGUGAGCUGUGCACAGUGAAGAGGAUGCAGUGUGCAAUAUCUCUUAUUAAGGGGAAGCUACUUCUAAGGAAUUCUAUAGGAGGAUGCUUUGAGUCAGCACAGUAGCUAGAGAGCUGACAGGUUAUACAGCCACCAAGGUGAGAUUAUACCAAAGGGUUUUAUUUAUUAUACCGAGGGUUUUAAGCCCUCGGACGCUCUCGGGAUUGCCAACCUGAGGCCAGCUUUCACAAGAACUGGACGCAAGUACUGCAACUCCUUUUCAGGAGGACUGCCUCUUGCUCCAAGCCUGCCAUACAGCAGGUAUCCUUACGAUAUUGAACGUUGCCACCUGGGCCAGCCUGCCAUGUAGCGCAUGCCCUUUCAGGCAGAGGCAGUACCGCUUGGGCCAUAGAUUCUUGUCCUGGUAUAACUGUUUUUCCCUUAAAUCAUGCUCUGCACCAUGUCAGCUCUAGACAUUCCUCCGACUAUAAGCAAGAUAUGAUUAUAUAUAUA